UACGUAGGGGUGCAAGCGUUUAAUCGGAAUUACUGGGCGUAAAGCGUGCGCAGGCGGUUGUGCAAGACAGAUGUGAAAUCCCCGGGCUUAACCUGGGAAUUGCAUUUGUGACUGCACGGCUAGAGUGUGUCAGAGGGGGGGUAGAAUUCCAACGUGUAGCAGUGAAAUGCGUAGAGAUGUGGAGGAAUACCGAUGGCGAAAGGCAGCCCCCCCUGGGAUAACACUGACGCUCAUGCACGAAAAGCGUGGGGGAGCAAAACAGG
rnacentral:rRNA from 1 species